AUUGAACGCUGGCGGCAGGCCUAACACAUGCAAGUCGAGCGGUAGCACAGAGAGCUUGCUCUCGGGUGACGAGCGGCGGACGGGUGAGUAAUGUCUGGGAAACUGCCUGAUGGAGGGGGAUAACUACUGGAAACGGUAGCUAAUACCGCAUAAUGUCGCAAGACCAAAGUGGGGGACCUUCGGGCCUCAUGCCAUCAGAUGUGCCCAGAUGGGAUUAGCUAGUAGGUGGGGUAACGGCUCACCUAGGCGACGAUCCCUAGCUGGUCUGAGAGGAUGACCAGCCACACUGGAACUGAGACACGGUCCAGACUCCUACGGGAGGCAGCAGUGGGGAAUAUUGCACAAUGGGCGCAAGCCUGAUGCAGCCAUGCCGCGUGUGUGAAGAAGGCCUUCGGGUUGUAAAGCACUUUCAGCGGGGAGGAAGGCGUUAAGGUUAAUAACCUUGGCGAUUGACGUUACCCGCAGAAGAAGCACCGGCUAACUCCGUGCCAGCAGCCGCGGUAAUACGGAGGGUGCAAGCGUUAAUCGGAAUUACUGGGCGUAAAGCGCACGCAGGCGGUCUGUCAAGUCGGAUGUGAAAUCCCCGGGCUCAACCUGGGAACUGCAUUCGAAACUGGCAGGCUAGAGUCUUGUAGAGGGGGGUAGAAUUCCAGGUGUAGCGGUGAAAUGCGUAGAGAUCUGGAGGAAAUACCGGUGGCGAAGGCGGCCCCCUGGACAAAGACUGACGCUCAGGUGCGAAAGCGUGGGGAGCAAACAGGAUUAGAUACCCUGGUAGUCCACGCCGUAAACGAUGUCGAUUUGGAGGUUGUGCCCUUGAGGCGUGGCUUCCGGAGCUAACGCGUUAAAUCGACCGCCUGGGGAGUACGGCCGCAAGGUUAAAACUCAAAUGAAUUGACGGGGGCCCGCACAAGCGGUGGAGCAUGUGGUUUAAUUCGAUGCAACGCGAAGAACCUUACCUGGUCUUGACAUCCACAGAACUUUCCAGAGAUGGAUUGGUGCCUUCGGGAACUGUGAGACAGGUGCUGCAUGGCUGUCGUCAGCUCGUGUUGUGAAAUGUUGGGUUAAGUCCCGCAACGAGCGCAACCCUUAUCCUUUGUUGCCAGCGGUUAGGCCGGGAACUCAAAGGAGACUGCCAGUGAUAAACUGGAGGAAGGUGGGGAUGACGUCAAGUCAUCAUGGCCCUUACGACCAGGGCUACACACGUGCUACAAUGGCAUAUACAAAGAGAAGCGACCUCGCGAGAGCAAGCGGACCUCAUAAAGUAUGUCGUAGUCCGGAUUGGAGUCUGCAACUCGACUCCAUGAAGUCGGAAUCGCUAGUAAUCGUAGAUCAGAAUGCUACGGUGAAUACGUUCCCGGGCCUUGUACACACCGCCCGUCACACCAUGGGAGUGGGUUGCAAAAGAAGUAGGUAGCUUAACCUUCGGGAGGGCGCUUACCACUUUGUGAUUCAUGACUGGGGUGA
rnacentral:rRNA from 1 species